UCCGUAGGUGAACCUGCGGAAGGAUCAUUACAGAGUUCAUGCCCUUCGGGGUAGAUCUCCCACCCUUGUGUAUCAUUAUAGAAUGUUGCUUUGGCGGGCCGCGCCUAGUGUGCCUGGAUUCGCGUUCAGCGUGCCCGCCAGAGGACCCCUAAACUCUGAAUGUUAGUGUCGUCUGAGUACUAUUAAAUAGUUAAAACUUUCAACAACGGAUCUCUUGGUUCUGGCAUCGAUGAAGAACGCAGCGAAAUGCGAUAAGUAAUGUGAAUUGCAGAAUUCAGUGAAUCAUCGAAUCUUUGAACGCACAUUGCGCCCCCUGGUAUUCCGGGGGGCAUGCCUGUUCGAGCGUCAUUUAUACCAAUCUAGCCCGGCUAGGUGUUGGGCUUCGCCGUUUGGCGGGCCUUAAAACCAGUGGCGGUGCUCUUAGGCUCUACGCGUAGUAAUUUUCUCGCUAUAGGGUCCUGGGAGAUGCUUGCCAGCAACCCCAAAUUUUUCUUAGGUUGACCUCGGAUCAGGUAGGGAUACCCGCUGAACUUAAGCAUAUCAAUAAGCGGAGGAAAAGAAACCAACAGGGAUUACCUCAGUAACGGCGAGUGAAGCGGUAACAGCUCAAAUUUGAAAUCUGGCUCUUUAAGGGUCCGAGUUGUAAUUUGUAGAAGAUGCUUUGGGUGUGGCCCUGGUCUAAGUUCCUUGGAACAGGACGUCAUAGAGGGUGAGAAUCCCGUAUGUGACUAGGUGCUUUCGCCCGUGUAAAGCUCUUUCGACGAGUCGAGUUGUUUGGGAAUGCAGCUCAAAAUGGGUGGUAAAUUUCAUCUAAAGCUAAAUAUUGGCCAGAGACCGAUAGCGCACAAGUAGAGUGAUCGAAAGAUGAAAAGAAUC
rnacentral:rRNA from 1 species